rnacentral:rRNA from 1 species
UGCGUCGUGACUGCGUGCCUUUUGAAGAAUGAGCCUGCGAGUUAGCGGUGUGUAGCGAGGUUAACCCGUGUGGGGAAGCCGUAGCGAAAGCGAGUCCGAAGAGGGCGUUUGAGUUGCACGCUCUAGACCCGAAGCGGAGUGAUCUAGCCAUGGGCAGGUUGAAGCGGCUGUAAGAGGUCGUGGAGGACCGAACCCACCAGGGUUGAAAACCUGGGGGAUGACCUGUGGUUAGGGGUGAAAGGCCAAUCAAACUCCGUGAUAGCUGGUUCUCCCCGAAAUGCAUUUAGGUGCAGCGUCGUGUGUUUCUUGCCGGAGGUAGAGCACUGGAUAGGCGAUGGGCCCUACCGGGUUACUGACCUUAGCCAAACUCCGAAUGCCGGUAAGUGAGAGCGCGGCAGUGAGACUGUGGGGGAUAAGCUCCAUGGUCGAGAGGGAAACAGCCCAGAGCAUCGACUAAGGCCCCUAAGCGUACGCUAAGUGGGAAAGGAUGUGGAGUCGCAGAGACAACCAGGAGGUUGGCUUAGAAGCAGCCACCCUUGAAAGAGUGCGUAAUAGCUCACUGGUCUAGUGAUUCCGCGCCGACAAUGUAGCGGGGCUCAAGCGUACCGCCGAAGUCGUGUCAUUGCAGCA